CGUCAAGCAGCCUAAGAUUGACUGAGUUAAGUAAAGCCGCGACCCUCUUUAGUCUUUAGGCGUCCCACUCUAAGCACCAAGCAUUAAGUCAACUGUUUCUUCCCCAUUAAUUUCUUUCCCCAAACUCUCAAUUCCUAUCUUUCCUUAAAACCAUCUUUAUGCAACAUCUGAUCUGCUGCUAGCUUUUACUUAAUUCCCACCUGUGCUUUCCAAAAGCUUGGAGGCUGGCCAGGCACUGAGUCCCUCCGCCAAACCACUCAGAGAUGGGAAUGCAUGCCCUUUUGUUGCCAUCUGUUGUUCUUGAGCCCUACUAUCUUUUUUCAAUGCUCCUCUCUUCUCGAGAAGAAAACUGCCUAAGGUUUCACACAUACGCUUUCCUUCUUUCAUCAUUGCUCAUCUCAAACCUGACAACAGAUUCAAAAUUCAUCGAACAAGUGUAGCUAGCUUCCUCAACUUGACAAGUUUGGGAUGUGCUUGCCAUUAAAGAGCAUGUAAUCAAAGAAGGAUGGUAUGAUGGUAGAAGCAUAUUUGUUGCCGUAUUUCUUGUCAUUGCUAGCUGUUUCUGCUAUAACGUACUAAUUUUAGGCUAAACAGAGAAUUUGACAUGUUGCCCAAAGCCAACAACAAUAUCCAAGUUGAUUCGAGAACUUGGCUGCAUCAACAUAUUUCAGUGUUUGAAAUUGUGGUUGGAGAUGUCAUUUGCUUAAAGAUUGGAGACCAAGUUCCAGCUGACGGGCUAUUCUUUGACGGGCACUCAUUGCAAGUGGACAAAUCCAGCACGAUAGGGAAGAGUGACCAUGUAGAAGUAAAUUGCAGUCAUCCAUUUUUGGUUUCUGGUGCAAAGGCAGUUGAUGCAUGCUGAUGCUUGAAUUCUUGUCACUUCGGUUGGUAUGGACACAAUAUGAGGCAAGAUGAUGGAGCUCCUUGAUCAGUACUCGAAACACCAACAAACAUGCACCUAGCUAGCAAUCUCACCUCAACAAGCUAACCUCAUCAAUAGGUUAGGUGUCUUUGCUACUUCCCAGAAAUACACCAGAAGAUAACCGAAGGGAGUUUAAUGGCAGCAAGACCAAGGUUGAUGACAUAGUGCAUGUUAAGGUGGGGUCGGAGAAGGUGACAAUUUCCGCCAAUUUUGGAUCGGGUUAAUUGAGGCUCAAACGUGUUGGUCGGACUCAUCUACUCCUUAAGCACCGGUCACUGAUCAGCCACUCCAAAAUCUGUUGGCCAAACCCACCGAUGACCCAUUGGCGACCUGCAAUCCGAUCCGACCCAACCUAAAUUUCAUGUUUUACUUAAAUUGAUCAUGUAGAGAGCAAUUCCAUCAUGUACCAAUUCAAGAAUAUAUAGAGCAAAUGAUGAGUAAGAAGCUGCGCGCUGCAAAACCUUGUUACCUUCAUUUGGUUCAGCGCGAGAGUGCCUGUUUUAUCAAAGUAAAUGAUGGUGGCAAAGCCCAUGGUCUCACAGGGAUUGCCUGAUCAGCUAUCAUUCUGAUCAAGCUCUUCCUGGAAUAAGCAAGUGUAAGCGUAACAGCUCGUGUUGAACCUUCUGGAUCGGGACUUGCAACCACGACUACAGUAACUACAGCAGCUACAUUAAUCCCCAUGAUCACAACAUUCACUAUGUCAUCAACCUAGCUAGCUUGGUCUUGCUGCCAUUGAACUCCCUUCUGUUAUCUUCUUGUGUAUUUCUGUGAAGUAGCAAAGACACCUAACCUAUUGAUGAGGUUAGCUUGUUGAGGUGAGAUUGCUAGCUAGGUGCAUGUUUGUUGGUGUUUCGAGUACUGAUCAAUUAGCUCCAUCAUCUCGCCUCAUAUUGUGUCCAUACCAACCGAAGUGACAAGAAUUCAAGCAUCAGCAUGUAUCAACUACCUUUGCACCAGAAACCAAAAAUGGAUGACUGCAAUUUACUUCUACAUGGUCACUCUUCCCUAUCAUGCUGGAUUUGUCCACUUGCAAUGAGUGCCCGUCAAAGAAUAGCCCGUCAGCUGGAACUUGAUCUCCAAUCUUUAAGCAAAUGACAUCUCCAACCACAAUUUCAAACACUGAAAUAUGUUGAUGCAGCCAAGUUCUCGAUUCAACUUGGAUAUUGUUGUUGGGUUUGGGCAACUUGUCAAAUUGUCUGUUUAGCCUAAAGUUACUUAUGACAAAAACAACAAUGAUAGAAAUACAACAAUAAAUAUGCUUCACUAUCAUACCAUCAUCUUCUUCU